ACGGGUGAGUAACGCGUGGGAAUCUACCUUUUGCUACGGAAUAACGCAUGGAAACGUGUGCUAAUACCGUAUGUGCCCUUUGGGGGAAAGAUUUAUCGGCAAAGGAUGAGCCCGCGUUGGAUUAGCUAGUUGGUGGGGUAAAGGCCUACCAAGGCGACGAUCCAUAGCUGGUCUGAGAGGAUGAUCAGCCACAUUGGGACUGAGACACGGCCCAAACUCCUACGGGAGGCAGCAGUGGGGAAUAUUGGACAAUGGGCGCAAGCCUGAUCCAGCCAUGCCGCGUGAGUGAUGAAGGCCUUAGGGUUGUAAAGCUCUUUCACCGGUGAAGAUAAUGACGGUAACCGGAGAAGAAGCCCCGGCUAACUUCGUGCCAGCAGCCGCGGUAAUACGAAGGGGGCUAGCGUUGUUCGGAUUUACUGGGCGUAAAGCGCACGUAGGCGGAUCGAUCAGUCAGGGGUGAAAUCCCAGGGCUCAACCCUGGAACUGCCUUUGAUACUGUCGAUCUGGAGUAUGGAAGAGGUGAGUGGAAUUCCGAGUGUAGAGGUGAAAUUCGUAGA
rnacentral:rRNA from 4 species